rnacentral:lncRNA from 1 species
UUCUCCAGUAGCAGAACACAUGAAUGUUUGGGCUUUAAAAAUCCAUUGUUUGCCUGCAUGCUAUCCGAUUGAAAUACUGUGUGUCCAACCUUCACUUACAAAUGUCUAAAAACAUCUGUUUUAAAGACCUUUUCGGAUCCUCUUGUUUUGUCAGAUAAAUAGUUUCAAAAAUUUGAAGGCUGGAAUUUUGGAGUAUUGUCAAAUCCUU